rnacentral:rRNA from 1 species
UACGUAGGGCGCGAGCGUUGUCCGGAAUUAUUGGGCGUAAAGAGCUCGUAGGCGGCCCUGUAAGUCCGUUGUGAAAGUCAAAGGCUCAACCUUUGAAAGCCGAUGGAUACUGUAGGGCUAGAGUCCGGAAGAGGCGAGUGGAAUUCCUGGUGUAGCGGUGGAAUGCGCAGAUAUCAGGAGGAACACCAAUAGCGAAGGCAGCUCGCUGGGACGGUACUGACGCUAAGGCGCGAAAGCGUGGGGAGCGAACAGG